UUUGGGAUUAAUAAAGUAUUUUUGAAUUGAAUUGAAUUGAAUUGUCCUGUUGAAAAGUCCAGAGAGAAAUUACGUUCAAGCACUUAUAGUUGAAUCUGACUUGAAACCAUCCGGUUCAUGAAGCACAGCAGAGAGCAGCAUGUCUGUUACGUAACCAACAAUAACCUCUAAUGGAGCAGCUGGCAAUUAAGCAGGUUAUCCGUCUCUUCUUUGUGUGUUGCCUCGCUCUCUUCUUGUGCACGCCGUUGAGCAGUCUCCUUCUUCAGCAGCUGUGAUCCAAAGUUACUCCUUGAACAGGUUUGGUACUGGGCCUGGGUUUCCUUUAGGUGUUCAUCCACAGCCUAAAAGCACAUGCUGGGUGUUUUUAAAUGACCAGAAUCCAGUUUCUACUGGGCAAGGGAUUGUGCCUCCAUCCAGUAGCCCUCAAGCUUCUCCAUCCUCUCCUUGCUGUCUCUGAUGUUUUGCUCCAACUGAGCGCGCUCCAUCCGCCAACGCAACUUCUCCUGCUCUGCAUGAGCCAGCUGGAGACGUAUGGCCAGAAAGGCUCUACAAGCGGACAUGUGAGGCUUUCUCUGUGGUUUGGAUGUGAAAUAUAAAUCUGAGAUGCACACCUGCAGCACGUGCCGUUUUAAAACUGUUUAACUGCAACAGCUAAAAUGCCUCAGGCCAUUUCUGUACUUUACGCUGCCCUGAGGCAACACAAUAGAGAACAGCUCUACAAGCUCCAAGUUGAACAAUGUCCCGACACCAGGCUGAAGCCCAUCAUUUCCUGGACAAUGAGGAAUUUAUACCUACUUCAAGUUGUAAAGAAUGCACUCAGAUGCACCAACAUGCAAGGCCAGCCGGACCAAAAGCCUCAACACAGAUGCUCAGAUUAAAGCACGUUCUAAGACUGUGCAGGAUCUUCUAAAAGUAUUCAAAUCCCUUGUACAUGUUUUUGGGGGAAGGAAGUGGAGGGAAUUGACACAUGGUUUUUCAGGUGCUUUACAGAACCACCUUUAAUGGCUAUUACAUGUGCAAGUGUGACUUUGACUGGGACAUUAUAAAAGAUAAACAUGAUUUAAUCUAAACAGUUCCACUGUGGCUCUGGCUGCAUGUUUACGAUCGUUGACCUGUUGGAAGGUGAACCACUGCCCAGUCCCAAGUCUGCUGCAGCCUCUAACACUUUUUCUUGCUUCAUCCAUCUUUCCAUCAACUUUGAUCAGCUUCCCUGUCCACGUUCCCACAGCAUGAUGCUGCCACCAUCUCCUUUCCCCAUUGGGAUGGUGUGCUCAAUGGGACGUUUUGGGAGGUUUGCAGUUGUGCCAUACUCUGAUGCUGUUUGUUUGUAAUGUUUUCUAACAAAACUCUGAGGCCUUCUCAGGAUGGUUGGAAUUUUACUGACAUUAAGUUACACUCAGAGGGACUCUAUUUUAAAACUUUACAUGGCAGGAGUCAUUCAUGCUCUCUAAGAAUGUUUUACCAUCUUUUCAUAUUUAAAAAAAGUAUG